rnacentral:rRNA from 1 species
GAUGAACGCUGGCGGCGUGCCUAAUACAUGCAAGUCGAGCGAACGGACGAGAAGCUUGCUUCUCUGAUGUUAGCGGCGGACGGGUGAGUAACACGUGGAUAACCUACCUAUAAGACUGGGAUAACUUCGGGAAACCGGAGCUAAUACCGGAUAAUAUUUUGAACCGCAUGGUUCAAAAGUGAAAGACGGUCUUGCUGUCACUUAUAGAUGAUUCGCGCCGUAUUAGCUAGGUGGUAAGGUAACGGGUUACCAAGGCAACGAUGCCUAGCCGACCUGACAGGGUGAUCGGCCACACUGGAACUGGGACACGGUCCAGACUCCUACGGGAGGCAGCAGUAGGGAAUCUUCCGCAAUGGGCGAAAGCCUGACGGAGCAACGCCGCGUGAGUGAUGAAGGUCUUCGGAUCGUAAAACUCUGUUAUUAGGGAAGAACAUAUGUGUAAGUAACUGUGCACAGCUUGACGGUACCUAAUCAGAAAGCCACGGCUAACUACGUG